rnacentral:tRNA from 1 species
AGGAUUUUAAGUUAAACAAAACUAUUAACCUUCAAAGUUAAAAUUACUUACUUGUAAAUUCUA